rnacentral:rRNA from 1 species
GAUGAACGCUGGCGGCGUGCCUAAUACAUGCAAGUCGAGCGAACAGACGAGGAGCUUGCUCCUCUGACGAUAGCGGCGGACGGGUGAGUAACACGUGGAUAACCUACCUAUAAGACUGGGAUAACUUCGGGAAACCGGAGCUAAUACCGGAGAAUAUAUUGAACCGCAUGGUUCAAUAGUGAAAGACGGUUUUGCUGUCACUUAUAGAUGGAUCCGCGCCGCAUUAGCUAGUUGGUAAGGUAACGGCUUACCAAGGCAACGAUGCGUAGCCGACGGGAGAGGGUGGUCGGCCACAUUGGAACUGAGCCACGGUCCAGAGUCCUACGGGAGGCAGCAGUCGGGAAUCUUCCGCAAUGGGCGAAAGCAUGACGGAGCAACGCCGAGUGAGUGAUGAAGGUCUUCGGAUCGUAAAACUCUGUUAUUAGGGAAGAACAAAUGUGUAAGUAACUAUGCACGUCUUGACGGUACCUAAUCAGAAAGCCACGGCUAACUACGUG